UGCGUAGGUGGUUUUAUAAGUCAGCGGUGAAAGUUUGCAGCUUAACUGUAAAAAUGCCGUUGAAACUGUAAGACUUGAGUGUAAAUGAGGUAGGCGGAAUGCGUGGUGUAGCGGUGAAAUGCGUAGAUAUCGGGAGGAACAUCGGUGGCGAAGGCGGGUAACUGGACCGCAACUGACGCUGAGGCGCGAAAGUGUGGGGAGGCAAAACA
rnacentral:rRNA from 1 species